GCUGACUCGUGGUUGUAAACAGACAGGACUUGACACGCCGUACACAGCAUACUGUAGUACUGAACUCCUCCACAGAAGUGAAAACAAGAAACCUCAUAUUUAACUGGAUACAUGCAUCGAACUCAUCGCAGCUUUAACUUCUACCAAAUAUCAUUCAGACCUGGGCUCAUCUUAAUAUCAGAUGAACGAAAGGGAUUGCCGCGCGUAUUGUUGUUGUUAUUAUAUUACGGUAUAUCAUCAAAAGCAGAGAAUAUCUUCUCUAAAGCGUUUUACACGUCCAGUAAGUUGUCCAAUACAUUUUUAUGGCAUAUUGUUUCCACCACUUCAGAUGCAUUACACGCUGUAUAUAAGUUUCCAAAACACAUCAAAUCAAUGCACGAAAAGAGAAUGGGCUCCGCAUUUACGUACCUUUGUCUUCUCGUCUCUGUCAUCUGAUCCUUCAUCUCUGGAUGUAAAAUAGUCCAUUAUAACAUCGUGUAGGAAACUGGCAUCACCAGGAUUGCUCAGAUUUAGGCGAUCAUGUUUAUCUUUAAAGUGAGCAGCUAGCUACUUGUUAAAAAACUUUGCGUGACAUAGUGUUACACCGCAGCCGGUCCGGGUAAAACAUUAAAGGGACAGUCUUUUUACCUUAUCACUAUAAAUCGCUAUUUUCUGCACUAAACGAGACAUUUUCAGAGAUUUUCUGUAGACAAGAUGUUAUAAUUAAAAAAAGACUUAUUUAGAUAUUUAUAUAUAAUAUAUAAUAUAACAACUAAUAUAUAUAUAUAUAUUUGUUUUACAACUGACUUAACACUUACAGUAAUGUUUUAUUUGUUAGCAUAGCAUGAUAUUAGAUUUAAACACUUAAUACAUUUUUAAAUCAAUCACUUUGUCUCUGCACAAUGAACAUUAUCAAAUAUUAUUAAUGUUGUAAAAUAUAUUGUUCAUUGUUAGUUCAUAUUAGCUAAGGCAUUACCAAAUGUUAAGGAAUAAACUCUUAUAGUAAAGUGUUACUAAAUUUUCUUUUACCAUUUCCUUCACAAUGUCUAUUUAUUUCUAUGGCUAACAGAUUUUGUAACAUUUGUCUUUUUUACAGUCUUACCAUUGCUUGUAAGCUGGAUUGGGUAAGAUGGAUCAUCUUUAAAGGCACCAGGAGUUAAGGCAGAUGUGGAGGCACAACGGGUGAUACCAGACACACACCAAGCACAUUGUUCGGACAUUCAAUCAUGACAUGAUCCAUGUGGAUGCUGUCCAUUGAGGAAAGAGUUUGUUCCGAGGUUUCUGGAUAGAAUUAAUUCCAAAGAUGGGAAAAAGUGCACAUCCAGACAAGGAGCAAGCAAAAAGACAAGGAACUUGGUGCAGAGAAAAGCUGUGGCCAUUAACCCCCAUGUGAACAGCUUCAUGCAGUCCCUGAUUGAGUUCGAAUGGACGACUUCAAAGUAAAGGCCACUGUGGUCUGUCUGCCACAGUUUAAUUUUUAAUUUAUUUUUAGUGUUCAAUGAAAUUCAAGUAGAAUAUUUAAAACUAUGGGCCAGUGUUGUUUUUACCACAGUGAAAUGUUACCUUUUAGUCGAUGAUGGACUUUAAACUGAAAACUUCAAACUAUGGAACAGUGUUCUAUUUGCCAGAGUUAAAUAUGUUACAGCAGGGGUCUCCAAACUUGUUUAUACUUGUUGAUUUUAUUUUAUGUUACUUGAUUAUAUGUUUAUUA